UGCUUCAAUUUUAGACCCAAUCUACAAGGUUCAUCGUUUUUGAGAACUUCUAUUCUUCUCACGAUGGUGCAAUGGUGACAUCACUUUCUCUGAUGAAAUUUUUACUUAUAACUUCAUGAAGAUUAAUUGUUGCUACAACAUCUGUCCAUUAACACCAACGUCUGAUGCCCUGUAAAUUUCGUGAGUCCAGAAAAAGUCAUCUUCUCCACCUUGAUGCUUUUCCACCGUUGAAAGACUGUCAAUUGAUUCCUCCACGUGAAUUCACAAAUUCUCCAAGAAAUUGGAACUCUGUCGUCAUAGAGAUACUCGAAGGAUAAAUCCCAACUUGUA
rnacentral:lncRNA from 1 species